CAAAACCAAAACCCACGGCCUCCUCUGUCCUGCUGCGCCCAUCAACCUGCAGUUUGCCGACAGACAACCCUAGACCAAAACCCACGGCCGUCUUCUGUCCUGCUGCGCCCAUAAACCUGCAGUUUGCCGACAGACAACCCUAGACCAAAACCCACGGCCGUCCUCUGUCCUACUGCGCCCAUCAACCUGCAGUUUGCCGACAGACAACCCUAGACCAAAACCCACGGCCGUCCUCUGUCCUACUGCGCCCAUCAACCUGCAGUUUGCCGACAGACAACCCUGGACAGAUACACUGUUUCACUCCUUUCUUCUCUUUAUCUCUCUAGUGAGGAGGUAAAUUUGGAGAAUAACAGACAGACUGUCGUAAGGCAGGUUUAUACCAUCCUGUACCCAGAUGCCAUUGUUCUGUGUAAACAGCCUCUAAGAUACAGGAUGUACACAGACCAUAAGUGUCAGCUUUUUAUAUAUAUAUACAAUAUCAAUACUUGUUUCAUUUACAACUUUUCUAAGUCCUGUUAUCAACUGACUUCAGCACAGUGUCUGGCUGUGGAUUGGCUGCAGUGUCUGGCUGUGGAUUGGCUGCAGUGUCUGGCUGUGGAUUGGCUGUCUGGCUGUGGAUUGGCUGCAGCGUCUGGCUGUGGAUUGGCUGCAGUGUCUGGCUGCUGGAUUGGCUGCAGUGUCUGGCUGUGGAUUGGCUGCAGUGUCUGGCUGUGGAUUGGCUGCAGUGUCUGGCUGUGGAUUGGCUGCAGUGUUUGAAUGGAAUGUUGGCAUAUAAUUUUUUUUUUUAAUACAAAAAAACUGAAGAAAAAAAACUGUCUAGCUAACAAACAACCUGUGCAGUUCUAUCUACAUUACAUUGACUAGCUAUGCAAUUUCAAACAGAGACUGGAAUAACCUGUUUGUUUAGGUUAUAAAUGAGCACACAGAAACUAACCCAGUGCACUUCUUCAAAUCUCUUACAAUCUUUAUAUGUUCAAAAGGUACUUUAUUUUAUUUUUCUGACUGACCUUGAAUUGUUCAAACUGUUUUUUUGGGGGUUUCUUCCCGGACUUGUUUCCUGGUCACGUGAGAGACUGUUGUUUUAUACUGUAUGUAGGAAGCACCGCAGAGAGACUAUUUAUGAAGAAAGGAUGGAAAUGGAGAGCGGGCUUGUCGAAGGGCAGAGAAAUACAUAAACUGUAGGUUCCUUCUGUUUGAUGAGGAAGAAGGUUUUUCAUAGAGAUUCCAGAUCUGGAAACCUCAUGGGAAAAGGUAUUUAGAAAGUGUCUUGUUGUUUUGGUGUCGUACUGCUCUGAGCAGUGAAAUGAGUCUGACGUCAAAAGGUGCCAGGGUCUAACCGAGUCUCCCUGUUUGAACUUCGUAAGGAAGAGAAUUGGAUGUUCAUCUAUGAUUGGUAGACUAAUGUCCGACCAGUUUCUAUAAAUUCCACGUUAACUAAUUGAGAUGAUGGUUCCAUGUCCAAGAAUAAAGUCACUUCCUGUUGAGUUCCGUAAUAAAGUCACUUCCUGUUCCGUAUUCUGUCUUGUGUCCUAAGUUUGACCUUUUCUUCUGGGCCCCAUCUGGGCCCCUCUCUCCACACCCACUAAACCACUGUUUAUACAUGUUACUUUUCAUCUGGGCCCCUCUCUCCACACCCACUAAACCACUGUUUAUACAUGUUACUUUUCAUCUGGGCCCCUCUCUCCACACCCACUAAACCACUGUUUACACAUGUUACUUUUCAUCUAGGCCCCUCUCUCCACACCCUCUAAACCACUGUUU
ensembl:lncRNA